rnacentral:rRNA from 1 species
AGACCCGAAACCCGGUGAUCUAGCCAUGGGCAGGUUGAAGGUUGGGUAACACUAACUGGAGGACCGAACCGACUAAUGUUGAAAAAUUAGCGGAUGACCUGUGGCUGGGGGUGAAAGGCCAAUCAAACCGGGAGAUAGCUGGUUCUCCCCGAAAGCUAUUUAGGUAGCGCCUCGUGAAUUCAUCUCCGGGGGUAGAGCACUGUUUCGGCUAGGGGGCCAUCCCGGCUUACCAACCCGAUGCAAACUGCGAAUACCGGAGAAUGUUAUCACGGGAGACACACGGCGGGUGCUAACGUCCGUCGUGAAGAGGGAAACAACCCAGACCGCCAGCUAAGGUCCCAAAGUCAUGGUUAAGUGGGAAACGAUGUGGGAAGGCCCAGACAGCCAGGAUGUUGGCUUAGAAGCAGCCAUCAUUUAAAGAAAGCGUAAUAGCUCACUGGUCGAGUCGGCCUGCGCGGAAGAUGUAACGGGGCUAAACCAUGCACCGAAGCUGCGGCAGCGAACGUAUCACUUAAAGCGAUUCAGCGGGUUACGAUUGACGGAGCGAAGCGACGUCAAAGCGUAUACAAAGUCGAGUCGGUUUAAGGAUACGUUCGUUGGGUAGGGGAGCGUUCUGUAAGCCUGUGAAGGUGUGUCGUGAGGCAUGCUGGAGGUAUCAGAAGUGCGAAUGCUGACAUAAGUAACGAUAAAGCGGGUGAAAAGCCCGCUCGCCGGAAGACCAAGGGUUCCUGUCCAACGUUAAUCGGGGCAGGGUGAGUCGACCCCUAAGGCGAGGCCGAAAGGCGUAGUCGAUGGGAAACGGGUUAAUAUUCCCGUACUUGGUGUUACUGCGAAGGGGGGACGGAGAAGGCUAUGUUGGCCGGGCGACGGUUGUCCCGGUUUAAGCGUGUAGGUGUGUGUUCCAGGUAAAUCCGGUUCACUUUAACACUGAGGCGUGAUGACGAGGCACUACGGUGCUGAAGCAACAAAUGCCCUGCUUCCAGGAAAAGCCUCUAAGCAUCAGGUAACAUCAAAUCGUACCCCAAACCGACACAGGUGGUCAGGUAGAGAAUACCAAGGCGCUUGAGAGAACUCGGGUGAAGGAACUAGGCAAAAUGGUGCCGUAACUUCGGGAGAAGGCACGCUGACAUGUAGGUGAAGUGAUUUACUCAUGGAGCUGAAGUCAGUCGAAGAUACCAGCUGGCUGCAACUGUUUAUUAAAAACACAGCACUGUGCAAACACGAAAGUGGACGUAUACGGUGUGACGCCUGCCCGGUGCCGGAAGGUUAAUUGAUGGGGUCAGCGCAAGCGAAGCUCCUGAUCGAAGCCCCGGUAAACGGCGGCCGUAACUAUAACGGUCCUAAGGUAGCGAAAUUCCUUGUCGGGUAAGUUCCGACCUGCACGAAUGGCGUAAUGAUGGCCAGGCUGUCUCCACCCGAGACUCAGUGAAAUUGAACUCGCUGUGAAGAUGCAGUGUACCCGCGGCAAGACGGAAAGACCCCGUGAACCUUUACUAUAGCUUGACACUGAACAUUGAGCCUUGAUGUGUAGGAUAGGUGGGAGG